GUAACCUGCCCUUGACUCUGGGAUAAGCCUGGGAAACCGGGUCUAAUACCGGAUACGACCUUUCACCGCAUGGUGGUUGGUGGAAAGAUUUUUUGGUUUUGGAUGGACUCGCGGCCUAUCAGCUUGUUGGUGAGGUAAUGGCUCACCAAGGCGACGACGGGUAGCCGGCCUGAGAGGGUGACCGGCCACACUGGGACUGAGACACGGCCCAGACUCCUACGGGAGGCAGCAGUGGGGAAUAUUGCACAAUGGGCGAAAGCCUGAUGCAGCGACGCCGCGUGAGGGAUGACGGCCUUCGGGUUGUAAACCUCUUUCAGCAGGGAAGAAGCGAAAGUGACGGUACCUGCAGAAGAAGCGCCGGCUAACUACGUGCCAGCAGCCGCGGUAAUACGUAGGGCGCAAGCGUUGUCCGGAAUUAUUGGGCGUAAAGAGCUCGUAGGCGGUUUGUCGCGUCUGCUGUGAAAGCCCGGGGCUCAACCCCGGGUCUGCAGUGGGUACGGGCAGACUAGAGUGCAGUAGGGGAGACUGGAAUUCCUGGUGUAGCGGUGAAAUGCGCAGAUAUCAGGAGGAACACCGAUGGCGAAGGCAGGUCUCUGGGCUGUAACUGACGC
rnacentral:rRNA from 1 species